GAUGAACGCUGGCGGCGUGCCUAAUACAUGCAAGUAGAACGCUGAAGGAAGGAGCUUGCUCUUUCCGGAUGAGUUGCGAACGGGUGAGUAACGCGUAGGUAACCUGCCUGGUAGCGGGGGAUAACUAUUGGAAACGAUAGCUAAUACCGCAUAACAGUAGAUGUUGCAUGAUAUCUACUUAAAAGGUGCAAUUGCACCACUACCAGAUGGACCUGCGUUGUAUUAGCUAGUUGGUGAGGUAACGGCUCACCAAGGCGACGAUACAUAGCCGACCUGAGAGGGGGAACGGCCACACUGGGACUGGGACACGGCCCAGACUCCUACGGGAGGCAGCAGUAGGGAAACUUCGGCAAUGGACGGAAGGCUGACCGAGCAACGCCGCGUGAGUGAAGAAGGUUUUCGGAUCGUAAAACUCUGUUGUAAGAGAAGAACGAGUGUGAGAGUGGAAAGUUCACACUGUGACGGUAUCUUACCAGAAAGGGACGGCUAACUACGUG
rnacentral:rRNA from 1 species